UCCCUUUGAGGCUGUGUGAGAAUUUGGCAGCGGCGACUGUAUUUUUAAAUUCAUUGACACCCAAAUUCUAUGUGGCACUUACAGGGACAUCUUCACUGAUAUCAGGACUAAUAUUUAUAUUUGAAUGGUGGUACUUCCAUAAGCAUGGCACAUCUUUUAUUGAGCAAGUAUCUGUAAGCCAUUUGCAACCACUGAUGGGAGGAACAGAGAGCAGCAUUUCAGAACCAGGUUCUCCUUCGAGGAACAGAGAAAGUGAAACCAGCAGACAGAAUUUGUCAGAAUGUAAGGUAUGGAGAAACCCUCUAAAUCUUUUCAGAGGAGCAGAAUAUAGGAGAUACACUUGGGUGACUGGUAAAGAGCCACUUACAUACUAUGACAUGAACCUGUCAGCUCAGGACCAUCAGACCUUUUUCACCUGUGACACAGAUUUUUUACGUCCUUCAGACACAGUUAUGCAGAAGGCAUGGAGGGAAAGAAAUCCUCCAGCUCGAAUCAAAGCAGCCUAUCAAGCUUUAGAAUUAAACAAUGAGUAAGUUUGAAAUAUAUGGAAAAUAAAUUUAUUUUGAAGGAAA
rnacentral:sRNA from 1 species